rnacentral:rRNA from 1 species
CUACGGGACGCUGCAGUGGGGAAUAUUGCACAAUGGAGGAAACUCUGAUGCAGCAACGCCGCGUGGAGGAUGACACUUUUCGGAGCGUAAACUCCUUUUAUAUAGGAAGAAGAUGACGGUACUAUAUGAAUAAGCGCCGGCCAACUCCGUGCCAGCAGCCGCGGUAAUACGGAGGGCGCAAGCGUUACUCGGAAUCACUGGGCGUAAAGAGCGUGUAGGCGGAUUAAAAAGUCAGAAGUGAAAUCCUAUAGCUUAACUAUAGAACUGCUUCUGAAACUCUUAAUCUAGAAUAUGGGAGAGGUAGAUGGAAUUUCUGGUGUAGGGGUAAAAUCCGUAGAGAUCAGAAGGAAUACCGAUUGCGGAGGCGAUCUACUAGAACAUUAUUGACGCUGAGACGCGAAAGCGUGGGGAGCAAACAGGAUUAGAUACCCUCGUAGUC